rnacentral:rRNA from 1 species
AAAGGCUCCAUAGUGGAUAUGUCCUGGAAUGGUAUAUCUUCGAAAGAUCCGUCGCCUUAGGAUGGGACUGCGUCCGAUUAGUUUGUUGGCGGGGUUACGGCCCACCAAGCCAUUGAUCGGUACGGGUUGUGGGAGCAAGAUCCCGUAGAUGGAUUCUGAGACAUGAAUCCAGGCCCUACGGGGCGCAGCAGGCGCGCAAACUUUACAAUGCGAGCAAUCGUGAUAAGGAAACCCUGAGUGCCUGUCGAUGCAGGCUGUUCAUAUAUCUAAAUCAUAUGUGAAGAAAGGGCAGGGCAAGACCGGUGCCAGCCGCCGCGGUAAUACCGGCUGCUCGAGUGAUGGCCACUAUUACUGGGUUUAAAGCAAACCGUAGCUUGACUGUUAGGUCUCUUGGGAAAUCUUCACGCUCAACGUGAAGGCGUCUAAGAGAUACCGGCAGUCUUGGAACUGGGAGAGGUAAACCGUACUUCGGGGGUAGGAGUGAAAUCUUGUAAUCCUCGAGGGACGACCUAUGGCGAAGGCAGUUUACCAGAACAGCUUCGACAGUGAGGGACGAAAGCUGGGGGAGCAAACGGGAUUAGAUACCCCGGUAGUCCCAGCCGUAGACAAUGUGCGUUAGGUGU